rnacentral:rRNA from 1 species
AGGAUGAACGCUAGCGGCAGGCUUAAUACAUGCAAGUCGUGGGGCAGCAGGUCCGUCGCAAGACGGACGCUGGCGACCGGCAAACGGGUGCGGAACACGUACGCAACCUUCCUUUAACUGGAGAAUAGCCCCUCGAAAGAGGGAUUAAUACUCCGUAACAUAUUGAUAAGGCAUCUUAUUAAUAUUAUAGCUCCGGCGGUUAAAGAUGGGCGUGCGCCUGAUUAGAUAGUUGGCGGGUAACGGCCACCAAGUCUGCGAUCAGUAACUGGUGUGAGAGCACGACCAGUCACACGGGCACUGAGACACGGGCCCGACUCCGUACGGGAGCAGCAAGUAAGGAAUAUGGCAAGUGGACGCAAGUCUAGAACCAGCCAUGCCGCGGUAGGAGGUAGUUAACGGCCUCGUGGUUACGUAACUUCCUUUUACUACGUAGGUAAG